rnacentral:lncRNA from 1 species
GGUGACGAAUAAUUAUUUGGUGUCGAUUCAUUGUUGGUUCCAUUGUUUAUGCGAUGAAACGAUAUUCUGUUUGAGAUUUGGAAUAGGUAAUUCAAGAAUGAAAUGGGGGUGAGAAUUGAAAACUUGAUAUAAUUGAUGAAUUUUGGUUAAUUUGAUUCAUGGGUUGUUUGAAUUGAAAUGAACGUUAAUUGAACUUGGUAGUAUCAUGAUACGUCGAUUGGUUUAGG